ACCUAAAGCGCUGCGGUUGUGAAGAAGGUAAUUUACGAAUCCUCAAAUGCCGUAGACUAAAGCAUUUUAUUGAGCGAAGGGAAGAGCUAUUGUUUCUGCCCAGAAAAAUAACAUAAUAAUUUAAGACGUGUAAUACAAAAUGAAAAAAUAUAUACAUAUACAUACAUAUAUAUUUUUCUAUCACCUGUGAAUUAGAGUAAUAAAAAUCAUCGUUAAACAACAAUUGUUUAAAAAAAGCGAAAAUAUAUAGUAGUGUUAAACUUAAACAAAAAAUUAUUUGAAGAAACAAAUAUUUGCAAAGUGGAAUUAUUGAAAACAUUUAAAAUCUAAGCCAAAUAAAAAAUAUAUGUGAAAAAUUUAAAAUUAAGGAACACAGAUUAAAAUGAAACAAAAAUAUAUAAAAAUUAAGUACUUUGAGUGCAAAUACAUAAAAGGAAGUAAUAAAAACAAAUUUUUUUUUGCAAAAAUAGAAACAACUCACUGCCAAUUUACUAAUCGAUUAAGAGAUUAAGAUUUAUAUCGGAAAGCAAAACUAAUAAAAUACUCAACAUCCACCACUGAGAAAAGUGUACAAAAUGUCCGUCCCUUCGGCAGCGUACCUUUUCCAAGGAUAAGUGCUGUGAAGUAGAGCUCUCAGAGGGUAACAGAAAAUAUUCAGCAGUGUUGCGACGAUGACUGUCAUUUAUUCUACCGUUAUGGCGCCAAAUCCUGUGGUCGAUACUAUUCACAGUAUGGUUUUGGUGGUAAUAGGAGGAAAUUUAAUUGUCGUUUUAGUUGUUACGACAAGAAGAAUUGCGAAUUGUAACCAAUUAUUUCCCAGUGAAUCUUUCCAUAGCGGAUACCAUGGUAUCCAGUCUCAAUGUGACGUUCAAUUGAGUUUCUACAUGUUGGAUAAUGAUUGGCCUUUCGGUGAGCAUAAGCGUUUCGAUGUUUAUACUAAUGGCGAUAUCCAUCGAUAUGUGGGUUAAUAAAUUAUAGCAAAGGAUUGUAGCGGUAACGCUAAAGUCUGACGCAAAUUAAAUUAAAUAUUUCACCUCUCCAUUGUAUACAUACAAAUACUUGUAUAUAAACAUUCAAGGUCGGCACACUGUGUGUCAACAUUUUGCCACUAAAACACUCACUUUACCUAUCUACGUCUCCCUCUCUCAUAUUCUCUAACGUUCACCUCAUUUCAGACUUUGCUAUUAUGGAGCCGUUGGAACCACGCCUCAGUAAACGGUGCAAUCUGGGCAUUGCCGUGUUCAUUUGGAUAGCCUCAAUUGCGAUUUCAUGCCCCAUGUUGCUCUUCUUUACAACCGGCGAAGUGGAAUUGAAGGAUGGUACCCCGAUUGUAUGCUAGACCGAGUGAUGGUUUUACGAAUCAUUCGCAACAGGAGCCUCAAAUAUUGGGCUAUAAAAGAAGAUUUUUUCACCUAUCUGGCCUCGCCAAAAAAACGUGACGUAGCUUCUCAUUAUGGUAAGACUUUAGAUGAAUAAUGGACAGAAACUGUGUUCUGUUACUUACUUUAUUGGCGUAGUAUAGCUUAUAUUUUAUUCCGCUAUUUGCCGCCAAUUCUAGACACCAAAUGCAGCCAGGUUCUUCCCCACCUGAUCGCUUUAAUGUAAUGGAGAUCUUUCUCUGCUUCCACCGGCCAAAAUCCACCAAAUCCUUUCAAAGCUGGAUUAUUCUCAUCCAUCCCGACAAUACGACCUAGCCUUUAAGUUUAUAUAAACUUAGUAAUGUACUUAUCAAGAUACGACGGAAUAAAUUGUAGUGAUCAUAAAAGUACCUAAAAUUAGACCUUUUUCGCAUCAGUUUAAAAAACUUAGUAUCGUCUUCCUUUAUGUUAAUUGCCCUGCAACUUUUCCAUCCCCGCAUAAAGAAACUGUUUUAUUUCUUGUUCAAAAUGUACCAAUCAGCUGUGGCUAUCAAACCUAAACAGACAAAGCUUUAUCGUUUGAAAUCCUAAUAAUUUCUAAAUAAUCCACAGGUCACCGUUGGAUUUAUAAGGAUAUACAUAUAUUUGUUAUAAGUUGCGACGAAUUGAUUUCGGGAUGUCCGUGCGUCAGCCUAGACAAGCGAUAGCUUAACAUACUUAGAUAAAAGUAUGAUAUCUGAAUGAACAUGUAUCCUGUCACUUUUAAAUACUAUACGACUCGAUAUCAAUUACCAAUUAGAAUUCGAAUGCGCUGAUAUACUGAUCCGAAUUUAUCGUUGCCUUGAUAGUCGCCAGCUUACAUCAUCACCGACCUGUUAGAUAUUCACGGUAUAGAGGCAAUCCGAAGUACUUUAAGAGAACGAACAUCGCAUUGAAGGUGAUUUUUACUUCUACGAUAUUUAAUAUAUCUAUAUUCCUAAAAUAUUUCUACAUUUUGAUAUGAAAAAAAUAAUGUCAAAUAGUGGUCAGCUUUUAUUGCUACUAUUAGUUUAGAAUUUCUUAAAAAAAAUGUA